GCAAUGAAGAUUUUGAGGAAAACUUAUUCUUUUCCCACUUAUGAAAGGGCAUAUAAAUGAAGAACAUCGCACGUUAAAAAGAACAUAUAAAGAAUUACUACUGCAUUCUGUAUUUCAAGAAAUUACUCUUUCCAUCAGCAUUCUUUUCACUUACAACAAUGAACUUUCUGACUUAUGGGAAUAGCUGUACACACAGUUGUUACUAUAAGUCAGAUGACUUAAAAGCAAGGAGGGAUAUGGCGCAAUCAUCUUUUCUUGUCUGCUCGCCAGUGCUUUUGGAGCUUAUAUUGUUCCAUCUUCUUACAUUAGUGGCUACGCUUAUCCAGCCACAUACAGUUACAGUUACCCAGCGGGUGGCUAUGCCUAUGCUGUACCAAGCGUCCCAGCAUAUGUAGGUCUUGCCAGUUCAGAGCCUAUUUACUACCAACCUAGUUACACAUUAGGUUAUACCUAUGUUAAGAAGUAAAAAAAAAAAAAAUUAAAAGGAUCUUCAGUUUUCCCAACCUUGUCAAAAUAUUUUGCGAAAAAAUACAUUGUGAUCCAAAUUCAUCACAGACGAAGACUUAUUUAAAUUUUCAUAAAGGAAACCAUGUAUUUAUGAAAUAAAUGUUUGUUCGUUUA